GGGCGCGGGACGUAAGGCGUCCAGGAAGGUGCUGAUGGCUCUCGGCUGGGUGAGGGUAGAGAAGGUUUCCAAGGCGCCCUCGGGCCUCGCGGGCUCAGGGCCCACGCAGUUCUCUCUGGUGGCACCGGGGGGCGAUGUGGAGCGUCCCACAGCGCUCCUGCGCCCCGGAGGCUCAUGGGCGUUGUAGUUCCCAGGGCGGCGAGCUGUGCUGGCACUUAGCGUGGGAAGGCGAGGCCAGGUCUGGAGGCACGGUCCCGUGCUCCUUGAGGCAGAAGAGGUUGUCCCGGCGUGGAUGACUCCGGAGCGUCCUGGCCCCGAACCCCGUGGAGUGCGACCCGCUGCGCGGGUUUGGCGACAGAUCUGGCGGCCGUGUGUCGCAGCUGGAGGUAGGACCAGGCCCUGCGGCCUGGCUGAGGAAGACCGUCCUGGGAAUCUUUCGGAGGUGGGGCUCUAGUGUGACCCAUCUCUCCGCUAAGCCUUUGUUUUCUUAUCUGUAAAAUGGGAAUAGUAGUAUCGACUUCAUAAGGAGAUGCUGACAUCUGGCUCUGAGAGGAAAUGAGCUGGGCAAGAGACAGAAAAGGGCUCCAGAAGCCUCCAGGUCCCACAGUCUUUGACCCUCAAAUACCCUCGCUCCUGGCUCACAGCCUGAGGCGACAAAGUUUGCCGUCCACCCUUGUGGACCCUCAGCAGCCCAGAGAGUAAUUCCCACGAUCGUCUUUCCACCCACCCAAUUUUAUAGAUGACCAGGUGAGAGACAAACUUCUAGUGCCUUUAAGGGCAGCCUGAGUCUUUCUUGUUCCCGCUGUGUCCCUGGCUUCUACCACAGGGCGGGGCACUCAGUGAGUACUCAAUAAAUGUCUGUUGACUGAAUGAAUGAGUGCAAGGAUGACCUUUAACUUUCACAUCCAUCAUCUCAUCACCCUGGGAUGAUAAUAGCAGCUGCUUAACCUUGAUUAAUGUUUCCGAAACUCAUCAGAGCGUAAGACUCAAUUGACGGUGUCUGUUUCAAAUAGAUUCCUUAAUUCCUCCCUUGGAGAUUAUGAUUCAGUAGUGUCUGGGCAUAGGCAAGGAAACUAUAUUUAUUUUUAACACACACAAACACCCUUGUUAAACUCAGAGGAGUUUGGGAAACUCAGAAUUAGAGACUUUUAUGGAACAGACGUUGUGGAAAUGCUUCAUAUUGGUUCACAUUCAAUGCUCCCAGUGUUAUCGUGUGUAAUAGGAGCCAUUAUUUACCUCAUUUUAGCAGUGAGAAAACUGAACAUAGGGUGAUCAAGGAGCCCAACACGGCUAACCUCCAAAAGAGUGUGCACUUAGCCACUGCACUGGACUAUAAUUUAACUGUCAUUUUACAAUGAGAAACUUGCUAAGAAUUCUGUCCUCCUGGCCCUCCAAACCCAUCAGCUCUGCUUACGAUGGGUUGGUACAGUAUAAAAGGGGUUCUCUUUGUCCCCAGCCUGUACCUCAGUCGCUCCUGGGAAUUUCCUGAGACACUGUUGUCUGCCACCAGGAUGUGAGAUUUUGGGGGUUGGUACUUGAACUGAUGCUUACUAUUUUAGUGGUGCUGUAUUUAUUUUAAUGUGUAUUAGUUUGACAGAAAGACUGGCAUUGUAAAUAUUGAGUGGAAAAAAUGAAUCAAUUUGAAAAACUAUACUUGGUAGAUAAAAUGGGUGGUAUGAAUAUAUGGGAAAUUUGGGGAGAGGUGAACAUGAAUGAUUGAAAUUUGCAAAACACAGUGCCCGGAAAAGAGUCCAAACGGAGAGAAUUUCUUGUAGAGCUAUUGAGUGUAGCAUCCUCUGUAAUAAUCAGGAGUCUUGAUUUACAGAUAACAGAAUUUACAGGGGCUGGUUUGAGAAGAAAGGGAUUUGUUUAAAAGUGGUAGGCAGCUUGGGACUUCCCUGGUGGUCCAGUGGUUAAGAAUCUGCCUUCCAGUGCAGGGGACGCAGGUUUGAUCCCUUGUGAGGGAACUAAUAUCAUACGUGCUACGGGGCAACUAAGCCCGCGUGCCACAACUACUGAGCCCACGCACCACAACUAGAGAGAAGCCUGUGUGCCGCAAUGAAGAGCCCACUUGCCACAACAAAAGAUCCCUCAUGCUGCAACUAAGGGCCGAUGCAGCCAAAUAAACAAAUCAAUAAAUAACAAAAAAAAGUGGUAGGCAGCUUAUAGACUUCUGGGGCAGGCUGCAGAAAUGGCUCCUAAGCCAUAGAACUGAUCUGAUAAGAAAACCGCUGCUACUGCCACUGCCACCAAACACUAAAUGCCAGAACUUAGACUUAUCUGUAACAGUGACUGCUUAUGGCACUGAAGACACUUUUGCAUCAAGAAAGUGACCUUCUCUCUGGGCUUCCCUGGUGGCGCAGUGGUUGAGAGUCCGCCUGCCGAUGCAGGGGACACGGGUUCGUGCCCCGGUCUGGGAAGAUCCCACUAUGCCGCGGAGCGUCUGGGCCCGUGAGCCAUGGCCGCUGAGCCUGCACGUCCGGAGCCUGUGCUCCGCAGCGGGAGAGGCCACGACAGUGAGAGGCCUGCGUACCGCA
ensembl:lncRNA